ACUCCUACGGGAGGCAGCAGUGGGGAAUAUUGGACAAUGGGCGAAAGCCUGAUCCAGCCAUGCCGCGUGUGUGAAGAAGGCCCUCGGGUUGUAAAGCACUUUCAGUGAGGAAGAAUGCUUGUGGGUUAAUACCCUGCAAGAGAGACAUCACUCACAGAAGAAGCACCGGCUAACUCCGUGCCAGCAGCCGCGGUAAUACGGAGGGUCCGAGCGUUAUCCGGAAUUAUUGGGUUUAAAGGGUCCGUAGGCGGGCCGGUAAGUCAGGGGUGAAAGUCUGUAGCUCAACUAUAGAACUGCCUUUGAUACUGCCGGUCUUGAGUCACGGUGAAGUUGCCGGAAUAUGUGGUGUAGCGGUGAAAUGCAUAGAUAUCACAUAGAACACCGAUUGCGAAGGCAGGUGACUAACCGUGUACUGACGCUGAUGGACGAAAGCGUGGGGAGCGAACAGGAUUAGAUACCCUGGUAGGCUCUGCU
rnacentral:rRNA from 1 species